AAGUCGUAACAAGGUUUCCGUAGGUGAACCUGCGGAAGGAUCAUUAACACGUAUCCAACGUUAAACCCCCUGAACCUUCAUUGUGCUCGUACACCCCGUCAUAAACCGGCAAUCCCUGGUAAAUCAGGGACCUCUGGGAAGGGUGUACAGUAGCGCGAGGCAAUUGACCUGGCAUUCCUCUGCUUGUUAGUGUCUGAAAGUGUCACUAACUAUGUACGGAUGGCGCAGUAACGAUCGCUGGAGGCCGACACGGCCGGCGACCAGGUCACUGGGCUACGGCCCCCCUGAUCACAACCUUUGCAUGAAAACGGGCCUGCGCUGAGGUGCGGCCACCCCUAAUGCUUGAACAACUGUUAACAAUGGAUAUCUUGGUUCUC
rnacentral:misc_RNA from 1 species